rnacentral:rRNA from 1 species
AGUGAACGCUGGCGGUAGGCCUAACACAUGCAAGUCGAACGGCAGCACAGUAAGAGCUUGCUCUUACGGGUGGCGAGUGGCGGACGGGUGAGGAAUACAUCGGAAUCUACUUUUUCGUGGGGGAUAACGUAGGGAAACUUACGCUAAUACCGCAUACGACCUACGGGUGAAAGCAGGGGAUCUUCGGACCUUGCGCGAUUGAAUGAGCCGAUGUCGGAUUAGCUAGUUGGCGGGGUAAAGGCCCACCAAGGCGACGAUCCGUAGCUGGUCUGAGAGGAUGACCACCCACACGGGAACGGAGAAACGGCCCAGACCCCUACGGGAGGCAGCAGGGGGGAAUAUUGAAAAAGGGGCUAAAGCCGGACCCACCCAUCCCGGGGGGGGGAAGAAGGCUUUCGGUUGUGAAAGCCUUUUUGUGGGGAAAGAAAAGAAGCAGGUUAACACCCCGCUUUGAUGACGGUACCAAAAGAAUAAGCACCGGCUAACUUCGUG